UCUCUCAUUACUGUUGCUUUGCAAAAAAAAAAAAACAAAAAAGUACGAAAAAAGCGAACAAAUGAUUCACAAUCAGUUGGAGAAAGAGUCAGAUAGCAGGCAUCGAGCUCGGGCCACGAUCCCCAGGAUCUGGCGCCCUCGCUCUGCCAAGGACGUCGAGGUACAGUCACCACGUAGCGGACGAAGGCGAAGAUCACAGUGCAAUGACCCAUUAAAGAAACGAGUGAGAGAUUGAGGGCGGUCUGGGGGCCAGGGCGCCUCCAUUCCGCCCACGUUCUCGGUAAAUGGCAACGUAAUUAUUCGUACGAUCGAUAUUCUCAGGAUAUUCAAUCUAUGUACUUCCAUUUAUCGGUAACUUCUUUCCCCAAGUGUUUCCCAUGCAUUCUUCAUUCCAUUUAAGAGUUAGCCUUAUUCUAGAUCUUUUUUGGGCAACCAGAAAAUACAAUUUCUUGGGAAUGCUAAUUUUAAAAGAAGACUUUCGUGAACAGUUAUUUCCCAUCUCCGGAAAUAAUACACUUUCCUCCCCCUGAACUGUCACAAUAUAUGUACAUAAAGGAAAUUCAAAGACUGUCCUUAUUUCUGAAAAGGGUUUUCUUAAUUGUUGUUCUUUUGACCUAGACCGAGAAAAUGUGAUUCUGUAUUUCUAAAAAACGAGCAUAAAAUCCAGAUGAAAACCCCCUGUAAUCGGGUAACCCGGAUGAAGUACGUGCUCUCGAUAUCUCUUACAUAGACUAGACCAAAGACACUAGAAUACCAAGAUGAGAGACGUCGCUGGCUUGAGACUGUCUUUUUUAGACCAAAAUUGAUUGUACGCCCGGAGAGAAAUUCACCAAAAAAAAUGGCUGCAUAGUGCAAACCCAAUGUAUGUGCAUACAUAUGCAUACUUUAUCAAACCGUUAUGUACCUUUUGUACAAAUGUAUUGCCAUGUGUCGCACUUUCCUUUAUGAGUAGAAAAUAUAAUUAUUUAGCGCUGGCAAAGCUUUACUCUUUUUGAAGAAGUAGAACAGUUAGAAUCUCAUCUUUUGUACCGAGAACACCCAACCAUAUUCAAAAUAUAGCGUCUUAAAUUUUAAAAGAAACAAAUGAAACAAAGCUUCUAUUAUAUUCUCUUUACCUGGCCGAUAAACUAUAUAAGCCGUGCCAUUUCAAGCAUGGAAAUUAUAUAAAUUUAAAUAUAAAGACAUGCCCACAUACAUAUACAUACAUACAUACUUUUGAAAUGUAAAUUGUCAAAAGAGUUAUGUAUGUACCUCUUUCAUACGUUUUUACUAUUGUUGGUGUUAAAAAGGCAUUUUAUAAGAAGAUACACAUACCUUGUUUUUAAAUGAUAGAAGAAAAUAUGAUAGUUUUCUUUUUUAAAUUCCCGCGAUGAUUCACUUUUUCCUUUUCUUGUAACAAUCUUUUAUCAACAAAGAGUGAUUUUACGCGCUUGAGGUGAAUUUCCCAACUGAUGGCGCAGUUAAGAAUACAUUUUGGGUGCCUAAGCUUCAGCACCCGAAGAAUAAAAGCGAUAAGCCAAUGAAUAUGUAUAGUACAUUUGUAUGUAUCUUUCAUUACGACGACCACUGAUAAAUAGUUCGCUAAUAUGUGUUUGGAUGUUAAUAUGUAUAGGUCAUCAUAUUGAAAUGUCCAAUCAGAACAGAGUUAAAAUCGUACCACCAAUUAUUUUCAUACACGUAUAAUUGCUAUCCGUAUUGUAUUAGUGACCGAUGUUCGCUUUUAGCAAAUGAAUUGCGCAAAUUAUGAGGUCUGCAUUUGAUUUUGCUUCUGGAUUAUAAAAAAUAUCACCUUUUCAAGGCUAUUAUUCUAAAAUUAAUUAAAAUCAUAGUACAAACAUUUAAGUACACACUUCGCAUGAUCAGUUACUCGUAGUGUACAAUAAGUCAGUUUUUCCGCAAUGAGGGUGUUAAAUGUCUGCUAAUACAUUUGUACAUAUGUAUGUACCUUUUUUUUUCCCAUUUAAACGAAGAGGCUCGUCGGGGCUGUGACGUCAGAAUCGAGAGAAUGCAACAGCUGAUUCAUGAACCAAUUUUCUGGCGCACGUUUUUCUAGUCGGCUAAUGCAAUAUUUCACUCACUAUUCUCUCGAAAACUAGUCAAAAUGAUACUACUUUUCAGAGUAUUUUAAAGGUAAAGGGUAACAGAAUGUUUAAUUUAAUUUCAAAACCCCAUUCUUCUUUGUUUCACUGACCCUCUUGGGUUACUUCAAUAUUUAUUGUGAAAUUCAAUAAGACUGACGAGCGAAAAUUGAGAGAGCGAGAGAAAUAGUUUGCGGCAAAGAAGAAGAAGACACCUGUUUGCUUGUGUUGGUGUGUGCCCUCUCGCUCUGCCUUCACUCAAUUUUAUAUAAGCGACAUAGGCACACAUAUAAACUCGACUGAUCUCUCUUUCUCUCUGUGUGUGCGUUUGUUUUUUCGCAAAAUGCAUUGCGCAUACGCACUGUUACAGGAAUAUUUGAUCCAUUUUGUUAGUUUCAAACUGGUGUUUCAGUGCCGUUUUUGUCUAUUGUUCACUAUAGUUUUUAGAUAAAAAAUAAUUAUUUCUUGCAACUUUGAUGAUUUUGUAAAUAACUUAAGGUCGAUUGGGUCUUUCCGGUAAACGCAGUUCUCAUUGUUUAGACCCACUUCCAUAAAUGGCAAUAUUAUAUUCCCGAACCUUCCCCGCUCUGGUGAAAUUCAAGGGGCAAUUGUAUUGGUGCAAUCUGAAUGGUUAGCUUAGUUACGGCCUAUGUUGUUCAAAAAUCUAUGUAAAAAAAAACGCCGGCAGAUGCAGAAAGAGACAAGAGAAGCAGAAAGAGCUCCCACCUUCAAAGAAUCUGGUGGUAUGAGCGAGACGGCUUGCUAACUUGUUGCGCCGACAGCUCUUUUCUGUCUGUGUUUGUGAAGCACAUGUACAGGCCUGCUCGCUCUCAUAGGUAUACAAUGCCUUGAGCCGCAAUUCAGUUUGGAAUCAAUCGUUGCAGCGGUAAGAAGUGUUUUUGGUCCGCGGAUAAAUCUGUAACGAUUUUUAAAAUCUGAACCGCUUAAAAAACAGCAAAGAUUUACAUGCCAGUUAUUUUCUAAAAAAUUAUGUUUUUGUUCUUGAAUGAAAUAAGACUUUGUCUAUGGCCAGCCCCUAACAUGACAAACACACUAACUACGUCACACAGCGGUGUGACCGGUACUGAAAGAGAGCAAGAAAAAUCAUGUCCGAUUUUCGUGUGGUUGUUGUCAGUCGUUCGUUGUCGCGCAAUGCGUCACUGGUCUGCGCACCCGGGAGAGAGAGAGAGAGAGAGAGGGAGAGAAAGAGAGAAGGGAAAGAAUCGAAACUAGACUGUUUCUUCGAAUCAGAAUAAUUGGUGAAAAAUGUAAUAAAUAAUAAUUUUAUUUUAUUUGGUUGUACGUAAAAAUUUUUAUUUUCUAACAUUUUUUGGUUGUUAGUUUGCACAAAUUAACAGAUGAAAUAGAUUUUAAUUUAUCUUUGAGCACGUUUUGUUUUUCUCGUCUUAUGUUUUAUUUUCAUUCUAUCAUUUCGAUUUCGUUCCGUUCCUUUUCAUUUCUUUUUGUCUUGGCUAAUUUCACAACUCGACAAUACAGGGUGUUCUAUGUAUGGGUCGCCUAGAAUAAAUUGAAAUUGACACUUCUUUUUUUAAAUAUUUAUAUAUUUUUAAAUAUUUUAAAUAUUUAAAUAUUUUUCGAAUAUUUUUUUGCAAUUUAUCAAUGUGAUGACGUACUCGCUGUAUGUUUAAUUCAGUUAGAUAGUUGAGUCUUUAAUAACUAAAUAUAUAUUAAAUAACAAUUAUUUUUCGGAUAUUUUUUGCAAUUUAUCAAUAAGCUGGUAUCUCACCCUUUUCUCCAAAAAAAAAAA